GACGAACGCUGGCGGCGUGCUUAACACAUGCAAGUCGAACGGUAAGGCCCUUCGGGGUACACGAGUGGCGAACGGGUGAGUAACACGUGGGUGAUCUGCCCUGCACUUCGGGAUAAGCCUGGGAAACUGGGUCUAAUACCGGAUAGGACCCUGGGAUGCAUGUCCUGGGGUGGAAAGCUUUUGCGGUGUGGGAUGGGCCCGCGGCCUAUCAGCUUGUUGGUGGGGUGAUGGCCUACCAAGGCGAUGACGGGGCGCCGGCCUGAGGGGGUGACGGGCAACACUGGGACGGAGAUACGGCCCAGACUCCUACGGGAGGCAGCAGUGGGGAAUAUUGCACAAUGGGCGCAAGCCUGAUGCAGCGACGCCGCGUGAGGGAUGACGGCCUUCGGGUUGUAAACCUCUUUCAGCACCGACGAAGCGCAAGUGACGGUAGGUGCAGAAGAAGGACCGGCCAACUACGUGCCAGCAGCCGCGGUAA
rnacentral:rRNA from 1 species